rnacentral:rRNA from 1 species
UACGAAGGGGGCUAGCGUUGUUCGGAAUUACUGGGCGUAAAGGGCGCGUAGGCGGUGUGUCAAGUCGGGCGUGAAAGCCCCGGGCUCAACCUGGGAACCGCGCUUGAGACUGGCACGCUCGAGUUCGGGAGAGGAUGGUGGAAUUCCCAGUGUAGAGGUGAAAUUCGUAGAUAUUGGGAAGAACACCGAUGGCGAAGGCAGCCAUCUGGACCGACACUGACGCUGAGGCGCGAAAGCGUGGGGAGCAAACAGG